UGUACUUUUCGAACAUUAAAAUUUUGCUAUUUCAAUUCUCUUCAUUUAUAUGAUAAGAGUAUUUUAUAAACACGACCAUUUUUUUAUCGUAUACCGAACAAGAAAAAGAGUAUAACUUUUUUCAGCGGCUAUAUUUGCCUUUCCUACUAUUCUUUUAUUUUUUAGUAUGAUGCGUUCCCGUUGAUUGCUUCAUCACUAUGAUUGUUCGCAUUGAUAGCUUUUGCUAAGUGUAUAUAUUGAUGGCCUGAUUGCUGUAUGACUGAUCUAUGUGACGCUACUGAAGCGUCAGUAGAUCCUCUGUUAGUGCGCAUCUAUUCCUGAUACCUUAAUGUUUCUUUACAAUAUUAACAUUUUAUCGGAAACUGUUAAAUGCUAAUAAAAAAUUAGCAUUUUCAAUGCUAUUUAUUAUAUAAAUUACGUUAGAUUAUAGUCGUCGUCCAUUCGUGCAUCUAUUGUGCGGUCUUCGUGCUGUCGUGAUGUCGUAUUACGCAUUGAAUAAAUAGAAUGUUAAAUAUUGAAAUUAUAGAUAUUAUUGAACAUUAAUUCCUAAAAGGUUAUGAGAUCAUUUGUGAACAGAAAGGUAGCAAGUUUAAAAAGUGUGUCAAAUUUCCAUCACUUUCAAAAAAAAUUAUGAUAUAUGAAAAGUUUAUACGAAAAUUAAUGAAAAACUAUUACGUAAGGAAUAAGAAUGAAACAUUGACAGUUAAUGAAGAGGCUAUUAUUUACAAAUAUGACUUUAAUAGUUAAUUAUUAUUACUACUUAAGUUAUAAUGCUUAUUACUACUUUCCUACUACUAGCUGAUUUUUUCCCUUUUCUCCUCAAUCUGGUAACACUAGGCAAGAUCAUAUAUUGAGAUUUUCUGAUACAUUAAACAAACUAAAAGUUAUUGACGUAAAGAUCUGCAAAAUAUGGUAGUCAUUCUCUUAUUAUCGAUUAUACUGCAAUCUUAUGAAUCCCUUAGAGUAACCGUUAAAUCUCAAGAAGAAUUAUCGAUGGUGGAGAAGCUCAGGAUAAAGUUACUAGAGAAAUAUUAAAUGAGACAACGACGAACUACGGACAAAAAUUUCGAAUUGAUGUUAAUUUCUAAACAUCUAAAGAGUAAUACUGAAGGGAAAAGCGAAAAAGAUUGACUCGAGGAAAGUCCGUUGAUCUGUAAUCUAAAUGUUAUUACUGUGGAAAGCAAUUGUCGGACAUUAAAAUGUCGAUUGGAGAAUUAAAAUAUUUUGUUAUCUUUAUAGAUCAAUACUUAGAUGCUGAUUGAGAUGCUAGCGUAGACAUUUUGAUAGAGGUAGCGGUUUUGGAUGUGUAUUAAAAUGUACGUAUCACGUGGCAUAUGAAAUGUGUAUUAAGCAAUUAAAGAUCUAUAUAUACAUAUACAUAGGUAUUUAAGUACAUAGAUAGCAUGGUUGAAAAUAAAAGAAUUGCUACAGGAAUACGGAAACUUAUGAAAGUGUGCAGAUCUGGAAAGAAGUCUCUUAGAAAAAAUGCGGGUCUGAUUGAUUAUUUCUGAUAGAUUCAACACAAUUGUAAAGAUAAGCAUGCAUAUUACCCAGAAUAGUGGUCACAUAAUCAACAAAACCAUAUAGCAACCCUUGAUGGUGAGCGACAAAGAAGAGUGUCCGCUUGCCUUUGUUUUGUAUCACGGAACUUGUUUCUAGCUUUGCAUUAUAUGUAUUUCAUAUAUAUUUAUAUUAUAUAUAUUUAUAUUCAUAUAUGUAUAUAUGAGUAUAUACAUAUAUGUAUAUAUACAUAUGCGUACAUGAUUUUAUAUGUAUAAUCGAAGAGUUCUCUAAUUUAGAUGUAUGAUGAAACCUCACGUUUAACUGUUCAGUGGUUAUACACAUAUAUUUAAAUACACGUGAAAACAUGUAAUAGAAAUACACAGGUACCUAUGAUUAAAAAUUAUACGAAUUGAGAUCCGGAUUUGUUUACCACAUGUGAAAUAGGUCUAUAAUUUCCAGAUAUGUUGGUAGUACUAUAAACUGUUUCGCAAAGAAACAAAGAUUUGUAGCUAUGUCUAGCUUGGAGGCAGAAUAUAUGGCUUUAUCUGAGGGUACAAAAGAAACAAUAUACUUAAAAAAUUUUCUAAUGAAAGUUAUUGGAAAAAUAGAUACUUCUACUAUAUAUAACAAUAAUUAAAGCGUAAUGUAAAUGACAAAACAUUCAGUUCACCAUAACAGAACAAAACACAUUGCUGUAAAAUAUCAUUUUAUCUGUGAUUAUUCAUAGAAAAGAAAUCAGUUUUGACUAUCUUUCAAUAACAGAUAUGCCAGCUGACAUUCACACCAAGAAAUUUAGUACAUCGAAGCUUUUUUCAGAAUAUCAAUCAGAAUAGAACAGAUUUGUUAAAAUCUUAAAAAUUGUAAUUUUUAUGGGAGGCGAGCUAUGUAAAAUAUUUUAUGGGGUAGUAAACAAUUAGCAUUUUCACCAUUAGAUGACACUAAGCUGUAGUUAUUGUUUAUUCAUAUGAUAUUAUAUUACACAUUGAAUAAAUAGAUAGAUUGUUGUAUACAGAAAUCAUUAGAGAUUAUUGGACAUUAGCUUCUAAUACUUCUGAUUAAAUUGCCACUUUUUUGGCUUAUUUUAAUCUUUAAGGAGAUGAAAAGUGCUCUUAAUAAGUAAAGUCUUGCAGUAUUUGUGAAAUUUAGGAAAAUAUAUUUGAUAUUCAAAAUGACCACAAGAAGAAAAAUUUAGUGUUUUGAAUUUAUCUGAAUCUGAAUAACUAUUUCGAUAUAACUAUUUCGAAUCAAAUAUAUCUUUUAUAGAAGUUUUCUUCUAUCAAAAGUAAUCGUGAUAGCCUCGCUUCGAGUUUUGAAUGAUUUAUCCGGUAUAUAUUUCUUAAACAUUAAACUUUGUUAUUUCAGUUCUUUUAAUCUUUACUGUUUGUUCCAUUAAGUACUUUUCAUCUAUAAAAAUAAAAUAGAUACAAUUUGAAUUAUCGUGAUUUAAUGGCAUUAUAAUUUUAUUUAUUACAUUUAUUAUUAUAUAAAAGGAAUUUUAGUAAGAUACAAAAAGCACGUACAAUUGCAAUAUUUUAUCAUUGAUGUAACUUAUUAAAUUUUUUCAUUUUGUAUUUAUACUUCUGUUCUCGUAUUGACUUCCUUUCGCAAACAUAUAUUUGCGCCAAUUUUGUCAUUACAAUUGUAUAGCAUAUUAUAAGAUAUUUUACAUUUCAUUGUAAGCAAAUUUAUAAAAUAUCAGACUAAAUGUAACAGAGAAAAAUAUGUUUAAACACUGAUGCAUGUUCCCUUGUUUGCUUAAAUAAUUUUUUUUUCUGUAUUAAUAAGUCAAAAUUUGCUAAGCCGUAUGUAUCAUGGGUAAAAAUCAUCUUAUGGCAAAUGAAAAGUUACACAAAACGGCACCGUAUGAAUGUGUUAAAUUUGUGAUGAAAGAACGAAUAUUGGGGCCGUUCAGAGAGAAAUGCUUUAUGUGCACAUGAUAAAAGGGGGAGAUCGUACAGCAAAGGAAUGUUAUUAAAAAAACGAAUAUUGAGCGUACGAAAUAAUUAAUAUUCUGAAUGGACUGGAAUUCGAAUCCGGAUUCUCGCAUGUCACGUGUAGUGCUUCAUUUUCAACUAACUGUAUGGUGCCUAAAAAUCCAAAGUCUUCACACUUUCAUAGCCUUUCUAAAAUGCUAUGAAAAUUGCCUACAAUCAAAAUUAUCCAAAUAGAAAUCUUUUAUAAACGCGUGAUUAAAGAGAUAAUAUCGGUCUUCUUUUAUUUUCUCAGUUAUGAUAUGUGCACAUGCAAUACUUUAACCUUGGAAAUGACCUGUCAUAUACAAUAUAAUAAACCAGCUCUCACAGCCAUAAUAUUUUUUUAAUUCUUACUAUAUCUAUUUGUUCGGUUAGGUGUGGCUAAAAUCUUAUCAAUGACAUAUAACUGUCAUCGAUACUUUAUA